AUGGAUUAGUGGCGAACGGGUGAGGAACACGUGAGAAACCUGCCUUUCAUUCUGGGAUAACCCCGGGAAACCGGUGCUAAUACCGGAUACUCCAUCUUGGCGGCAUCGCCGAGCUGGGAAAAAAUUUUGAUGAAAGAUGGUCUCGCGGCCUAUCAGCUAGUUGGUGAGGUAAAGGCUCACCAAGGCGACGACGGGUAGCCGGCCUGAGAGGGCGACCGGCCACACUGGGACUGAGACACGGCCCAGACUCC
rnacentral:rRNA from 1 species